UACGUAGGGGGCUAGCGUUGUCCGGAAUCAUUGGGCGUAAAGCGCGUGUAGGCGGCCCGGUAAGUCCGCUGUGAAAGUCGGGGGCUCAACCUCGGAAUGCCGGUGGAUACUGUCGGGCUUGAGUACGGGAAGGAGGCGAGUGGAAUUCCUGGUGUAGCGGUGAAAGUGCGCAGAUAUCAGGAGGAACACCAAUUGCGAAGGCAGCUCGCUGGGACGUAACUGACGCUGAGACGCGAAAGCGUGGGGAGCAAACAGG
rnacentral:rRNA from 1 species